AGUGGGAUAGCUGGAUCAAAUGGUAGUUCUAUUCCAAGUUUUCUGAGGAAUCUCCAUACUGCUUUCCAUAGUGGUUGCACCAAUUUGCAGUUUCACCAGCAAU
rnacentral:pre_miRNA from 1 species